UAACCAGGAUUCCCUCAGUAACUGCGAGUGAAGCGGGACCGGCUCAAUGUGUGAAUCUGGCUUGGGGUAGAUCCCUGGUCCGAGUUGUGCACUAUGGACGUUUCGUCUGCGUUUGUAAUGGCGGUGGAAGUCCGUUGAAACACGGCACCUCAGAGGGUCACAGUCCUGUACCACCUGCCUGCACUCGCGCCAAUGACAAGCGCUCCUCGAGUCGCGUAGUUUUGUAAUGCUGCGCCAAGUGGGAGGUAGAGACCUUCUAAGGCUAAAUAUGAUGACGUGACCGAUAGCACACAAGUACCGCGAGGGAAAGGUGAAAAGCAACCAUGAAAAAUGGGUUGAAACAGUAGUGAAAGCGCUACCGGGAUAAGGGCUAUCGGGUGCUGGGGCUUCUUGGGUGUGCUUCAGUGCUACCCUUGGAGACGGCCCGCGUGGGUUGAUGUUGGGGCGAUAGACGCGCCGUUGGAAUUCAGCUGUCUUCGGGCAGUGUUGUAGCCUUCGGUUGCCGAUCCUCCUGCGACCUUUUGUAAUUGCGGGUCUUGCGACCGUUAGCCGCC
rnacentral:rRNA from 1 species